rnacentral:rRNA from 1 species
GCAUAUCAAAAUAGCGGAGGAAAAGAAACCAACAGGGAUUGCCUUAGUAACUGCGAGUGAAGCGGCAAAAGCUCAAAUUUGAAAUCUGGUACCUUUCGGUGCUCGAGUUGUAAUUUGGAGAGGCAACUUCGGAGAGGGCGUUGGCCUAAGUUCCUUGGAACAGGACGUCACAGAGGGUGAGAAUCCCGUGCUUGACCGACUGUCCCUCUUCAUGUGAAGUGUCUUCGACGAGUCGAGUUGUUUGGGAAUGCAGCUCAAAAUGGGUGGUAAACUCCAUCUAAGGCUAAAUAUUGGCGAGAGACCGAUAGCGCACAAGUAGAGUGAUCGAAAGAUGAAAAGCACUUUGAAAAGAGAGUUAAAAAGUACGUGAAAUUGUUGAAAGGGAAGCGCUUGAGACCAGACUCGGUGAUUGGUGAUCAGCGGUUGCUUCUGCUCCGUGCACUUGCCUUUUACCGGGCCAGCAUCAGUUACGGCGGUGGGAUAAAGGUCUAGGGAAUGUGGCUCCCUUCGGGGAGUGUUAUAGCCCUGGACGUAAUGCCACCUGUUGUGACUGAGGACCGCGCUUCGGCUAGGAUGCUGGCAUAAUGGUCUUCAGCGACCCGUCUUGAAACACGGACCAAGGAGUCUAACAUCUAUGCGAGUGUUCGGGUGUAAAACCCCUACGCGUAAUGAAAGUGAACGGAGGUGGGAACCUUUUAGGUGCACCAUCGACCGAUCCUGAUGUUUACGGAUGGAUUUGAGUAGGAGCAUAGCUGUUGGGACCCGAAAGAUGGUGAACUAUGCCUGAAUAGGGUGAAGCCAGAGGAAACUCUGGUGGAGGCUCGCAGCGGUUCUGACGUGCAAAUCGAUCGUCAAAUUUGGGUAUAGGGGCGAAAGA